ACCAGAACCAGAACCAGAACCUGGACUUUAAUCAGGAACUGCACAGAUUCUCUGUGGGGUCAAACUCAGUAAACUGAAGAUCAGAUGUUGAUCAGAUGAUGACAUCACUGUUAUCAUAUUUUAGUCUGUUUAUGAUCCAGAUUGAUUUCAUUAGAACUGAAUUUAUUUCUUCUCUAAUCACAGACUUGGUGGCUGUUCGCUUGAUAAGGAUGAUUGUGAAGUUUUGGCCUCGGCUCUGAAGUCCAACCCAGAUCUGACUGAACUGGAAAUAAAUCAGAUCAACAUAAAUGGAGGUGGAGACUCUGAUCUGAAGCAUCUGGUUGAGAUCCUGGAGAGUUCAGUCAGUAAAGUGAAGAAUCUGAGAUUGAAGGGCUGCAGUUUGUCAGAGACCAGCUGGACUUCUCUGUUCUCAGCUCUGAAGUCCAAACCGACCCAUCUGACAGAACUGGACCUGAGCGGAACCAACCUGGAAGAUUCUGGAGUGAAGGAGCUCUGUGGUUUUCUACAGACUGAAGGCUGCAGACUGGAGACAUUGAAAUUGAUCAGCUGCAGUUUUUCAAAGAUCAGCUGUGAUUAUUUGGCCUCAACUCUGAAGUCCAACCCGACCCGUCUGACAGAACUGUACCUGAGAGGAAACAACCUGAAGGAUUCAGAUGUUCAGCAGCUGAAGAAUCUUGUAAAGACUUUAGGGUUCAGAUCUCUGUGAAGUAGAAAAUGGUCUCAGUGUCCUGCUGAUCCUCAGAGGUUGAAGCUGCAGCAGUUUGAGUCUAAAGAGACUCUGACUGGAUCAUGAUGAUGACCUCUGACCUCCAAGGUUUUCCUCCCGUUUAUUUCCUCAUGUCUGUCAUUUAGUGUCUGAUAUUGUUUGUCUCUUUGGAUCAAUAAAGAUCCAAUUCAAACUGGGCUCCAUUUAGAGGCUUCAUGGAGUUUUGAUCUGAACUGGAUUCAACUGGAAAGUUGAUCUUUUUUCUCUCUGAUUCAUUUUCAUCCUGGAACCAGAAAUGGUCUGAGAAUGGAAACAUGGGAAUCAUUUUCAGUUCAGCUUUGAAGCCAUGAAAGACACUUCAAACCUCUUUUCUCUGCUGCUUCUUCCUUCUGCUGACAUGAAAAUGUUCCUCAAAGCUCCACAGAUAAAAAGAUGCUUUACUGGAAACUGCAGAGAAACUUCAGCUUCCAUCAGAGAAACCAGUUUAACCAGUUUAGAACUGGAUGUCCUACAGAAACUCUGAUCUUAGAGCAGUUUUCAGGAACAUGUGGAACCUGGAAAAAAAAAAGAUUUUAUAUAUUUUAUGUUCAUUGUAAAAGCUAAAUCUUGAAGUUUUACGUCAUCAUUGAUUCUCAGCUUUAAUUUCUCUCAGUUUGUUUUGGUUUUUACUUUUUUAACUCCAUAUUUCAUGUUUUGAGUUUUCUAGAGAACUUCAGGCUCUUUACUGUGAUUUUACUGAUUUAUUCAAACCUCAGAGAAUCACUGGGAUAAUGUGCUGAUUGGUUCAUGUUUGAUUUUCAUCAUUCUUCUAAUGCAAUGUGGGUUGCUGGAUGUUUAACGACCAAAUAAAGUUUUUAAAAAAU